UUGAUUGGUCGUGCGACUUGUGAUUUAGUAUAUAAAAGAAUAAGGUAGAGAGCUAAUUAAGUGCAUUCAUCAAAUCGUCUGUGAAGUAACAUCUAUUGUUUCUUCUUACUUUGUGUUCAGUUUUUGUUUCUGUGUCCUAAUUGAAGACAAAGAAUGACUUGUUGCUUAUUUCUUCUAACGUACACUACUUGCAAUCUAGUCCGGUCCAUGUAGACAAUGCUGUCACUGAAAUUAACACGCCAACAAACUUUACUAUAAACUUAGAAAAAGAAGAGAAGCUUUAUUCCUGUUUUGAUAAAGUUCUACCCAAAUGGGUAUCCUAAUCAGAAGAGCAAGAGUCACCAAGGACAUCCAUCACAAUCACAUCUGUAAAUACGUGGAUACAUCAAGCAAAUGGGUAAUAGACGGUAGUGUAAAUGUAAUUAAGCCUAUAGAGAAACAUCAAAAACGAUCAUUCACAAUCAAUGGUUCUAAGAGUGACUUGGGCAUGUAUACUUUUGAUUCUCUCUGGAGAUAUGGUUCUCGUAUUGGUAG
rnacentral:lncRNA from 1 species